rnacentral:rRNA from 1 species
UACGGGAGGCAGCAGUGGGGAAUAUUGCACAAAUGGGCGANAGNCUGAUGCAGCGACGCCGCGUGAACGAAGAAGNAUUUCGGNAUGUAAAGUUCUGUCNGUCAGGGAAGAAAAAUGACGGCUACCUGACUAAGAAGCAUCCGGNUAANUACUAUGCCANCAGCCGCGGNAAUAAUAGGCGGAAUUC